GCACCUGUCGUCUCAUGGGUAAGACGUUCCCCUUCAUGAGGGCCUCGUGGCCCUUCUAAGAGGGAAAGACGCAAGUUCGAAUCUUGCCUGGUGCACCA
rnacentral:tRNA from 1 species